CCCUCCUACAAAGGCAUGUUUAUAGUUCCUUUCCUUUGGACAGGUAAGAAUUGGAGGCAGAAAAAUGUGGAUAUGGAGACAUCUAGGGCAAUCUGUUCCCUACAGGUCCAAAAUCAACCAUCCCACAUGG
rnacentral:snoRNA from 1 species